GCUGACCAGGCUGGUCUUGAACUUCUGAUCUCAGAUAAUCCGGCUGCCUCGGCCUCCCCAAGAGCUGGGAUUACAGGCGUGGGCCACCAUGCCCAGACAGGUUUGGGACCCUCUCGCUGGACAAGAUUCCCGGGCUCGCGUUCAGUUCACAACAGCUGGUGCCCCGAACGUGGGACCUGGACAUGAGGGAUAACCGUGACGCCUACAAACUUUAGAGGUGAAGCUGCAGCGUAAAUCACAGAAACCACUCACACUCCUUGACUUGGUCACAUUUUUCAUCAUGAAAGCCAGCAACCCCAGGCCAAGUCUUUCCUGAAUUCUCUCUGGAAGCUUCUGGUAACCAUCCUUCUACUCUCAACCUCCAUGACACCCACAUUUUGAGCUGUGAGCAAGAACAUGUGAGCAAGAACAGGGAAUAUUUGUCUUUCUGUGCCUUGCUAAUUUCACUUAACAUAAUGACCUCCAGUUUCAUUACUGCUGUGAAAGAAAAGAUUUAUUUUUUUAUGUUUGUGUAAUAUAGUAUUGUGUAUAUAUACCAGAAUUUCUUUGCCCAUUCAUUAAUUAGUGGACUCUUAGAUUGAUUCCAUAUCUUGCCUAUUGUGAAUAGUGCAGCAACAUACAGGGAAGUGCAGAUCUCUUUGAUAUACUG
rnacentral:lncRNA from 13 species